rnacentral:rRNA from 1 species
UACAGGGGGGCAAGCGUUGUUCGGAAUUACUGGGCGUAAAGGGCUCGUAGGUGGCCAACUAAGUCAGACGUGAAAUCCCUCAGCUUAACUGGGAACUGCGUCUGAUACUGGAUGGCUUGAGUUUGGGAGAGGGAUGCGGAAUUCCAGGUGUAGCGGUGAAAUGCGUAGAUAUCUGGAGGAACACCGGUGGCGAAGGCGGCAUCCUGGACCAACACUGACACUGAGGAGCGAAAGCCAGGGAGCAAACGGG